rnacentral:rRNA from 1 species
UGGGGAAUUUUGGACAAUGGGCGAAAGCCUGAUCCAGCAAUGCCGCGUGUGUGAAGAAGGCCUUCGGGUUGUAAAGCACUUUUGUCCGGAAAGAAAUCCUUGGCUCUAAUACAGUCGGGGGAUGACGUACCGGAAGAAUAAGCACCGGCUAACUACGUGCCAGCAGCCGCGGUAAUACGUAGGGUGCAAGCGUUAAUCGGAAUUACUGGGCGUAAAGCGUGCGCAGGCGGUUUGCUAAGACCGAUGUGAAAUCCCCGGGCUCAACCUGGGAACUGCAUUGGUGACUGGCAGGCUAGAGUAUGGCAGAGGGGGGUAGAAUUCCACGUGUAGCAGUGAAAUGCGUAGAGAUGUGGAGGAAUACCGAUGGCGAAGGCAGCCCCCUGGGCCAAUACUGACGCUCAUGCACGAAAGCGUGGGGAGCAAAGCAGGAUUAGAUACCCCUGGUAGUCCACGCCCUAAACGAUGUCAACUAGUUGUUGGGGAUUCAUUUCCUUAGUAACGUAGCUAACGCGUGAAGUUGACCGCCUGGGGAGUACGGUCGCAAGAUUAAAACUCAAUGAAUUGACGGGGUCAUAGCUGUUUCCU